CGUGUAGGCGGCCAGAAAAGUCCGCUGUGAAAACUCGAGGCUCAACUUCGGGCUGUCGGUGGAAACUUUCUGGCUAGAGUCCGGAAGAGGAGAAUGGAAUUCCUGGUGUAGCGGUGAAAUGCGCAGAUAUCAGGAAGAACACCCGUGGCGAAGGCGGUUCUCUGGGACGGUACUGACGCUGAGACGCGAAAGCGUGGGGAGCGAACA
rnacentral:rRNA from 1 species